UGGGGAAUUUUGGGCAAUGGGGGAAACCCUGACCCAGCCAUCCCGCGUGUGCGAUGAAGGCCUUCGGGUUGUAAAGCACUUUUGGCAGGAAAGAAAAGUCAUGGGUUAAUACCCCGUGAAACUGACGGUACCUGCAGAAUAAGCACCGGCUAACUACGUGCCAGCAGCCGCGGUAAUACGUAGGGUGCAAGCGUUAAUCGGAAUUACUGGGCGUAAAGCGUGCGCAGGCGGUUCGGAAAGAAAGAUGUGAAAUCACAGAGCUCAACUUUGGAACUGCAUUUUUAACUUCCGGGCUUGAGUGUGUCAGAGGGAAGCGGAAUUCCGCGUGUAGCAGUGAAAUGCGUAGAUAUGCGGAGGAACACCGGUGGCGAAGGCAGCCUCCUGGGCUAACACUGACGCUCAUGCACGAAAGCGUGGGGAGCAAACAGG
rnacentral:rRNA from 1 species